UACGUAGGGCGCAAGCGUUGUCCGGAAUUAUUGGGCGUAAAGAGCUCGUAGGCGGUUUGUCGCGUCUGCUGUGAAAACCUAAGGCUCAACCUUGGGCUUGCAGUGGGUACGGGCAGACUAGAGUGCGGUAGGGGGUGACUGGAAUUCCUGGUGUAGCGGUGGAAUGCGCAGAUAUCAGGGAGGAACACCGAGUGGCGAAAGGCAGGUCACUGGGCCGCAACUGACGCUGGAGGAGCGAAAGCAUGGGGAGCGAACAGG
rnacentral:rRNA from 1 species